UUCUUAGUCUUUCCGUAAAACGAGUUUUGGGACACCCUGUAUUUUGCAAUAAGUGGUGUGUUAUAAUCUUUAGAAGAAAUAUUGCUUCGUUAUAUUUACCUCUUUCUCUAUCUCGAACUUUCUUUAAUUUCAAUUUAAAAGGUCACGAACGGGAUUUUCGCGAGAGCUAGUACGUGCAUGUAUAAUACGCCCGCGUGUAUAUAUAUAUAAUUAUACAGAUAGAUAUAAACACACACGCACACACAAACAGAUACGUAUGUAAGUUGCAUGUAAAUCGGUCGAACUGACGGACGGGUGAAGGUCGUUUCAUAGUGAAAGGCACAACGUCGGCUUCAUUCGUUAAUACAAUACCAUGGAAACACCAUGGCAAAUCAACGAUGCGGAAAAAAGGAAGCCGCCUAUGUAUUCGUCAAGAAGGCAAAUUCGAGAAGUCUGUGUUCGUUAAAACGCGAACGAAUAUUGGCGGUUGGCGACCCACGUUCACUUUCAUCGGAGAUAAUAGCGGAAGGAGUUGAGUGUUCCCGUAAAUUCAACGAAGCGACCAUUUUCUUUUUAUGUCUCUAACAUCAAUACA